rnacentral:rRNA from 1 species
GAUGAACGCUGACAGAAUGCUUAACACAUGCAAGUCGAUGGGGAAGUGGUGCUUGCACCAUGGUAACCAUGGCGGACGGUUGAGUAACGCGUAAGGAACUUACCUGCGGGACCGGGAUAACAGCAUGAAACUGCUGACAAGACCGGAUAAGGUCAUUAAGCUUCAUAGCUUAGUGAUGAAAGGAGACGCCUGCGGAGAGCCUUUCUUACUAUUAGCUAGUUGGUGGGGUAACGGCCCACCAAGGCGAAGAUAGGUAGCCGGCCUGAGAGGGUGGACGGCCAAAAGGGGAAUGAGAUACGGCAGUAACUACUACGGGAGGAAGGAGUGGGGAAUAUUGGAAAAAGGGGGCAAAACUGAUAAAGAAAUUAUGUGUGGAAGAAGACGGUUUUCGGAUUGUAAAGAGAUUUAAGAAGGGAAGAAGGAAGUGACGGUACCUGCAGAAGAAGCGACGGCUAAAUACGUG